rnacentral:rRNA from 1 species
UGGGGAAUAUUGCACAAUGGGCGCAAGCCUGAUGCAGCCAUGCCGCGUGUGUGAAGAAGGCCUUCGGGUUGUAAAGCACUUUCAGCGAGGAGGAAGGUGGUGGACUUAAUACGUUCAUCAAUUGACGUUACUCGCAGAAGAAGCACCGGCUAACUCCGUGCCAGCAGCCGCGGUAAUACGGAGGGUGCAAGCGUUAAUCGGAAUUACUGGGCGUAAAGCGCACGCAGGCGGUUUGUUAAGUCAGAUGUGAAAUCCCCGGGCUCAACCUGGGAACUGCAUUUGAAACUGGCAAGCUAGAGUCUCGUAGAGGGGGGUAGAAUUCCAGGUGUAGCGGUGAAAUGCGUAGAGAUCUGGAGGAAUACCGGUGGCGAAGGCGGCCCCCUGGACGAAGACUGACGCUCAGGUGCGAAAGCGUGGGGCAGCAAACAGGAUUAGAUACCCUGGUAGUCCACGCUGUAAACGAUGUCGAUUUGGAGGUUGUGCCCUUGAGGCGUGGCCUCCGGAGCUAACGCGUUAAAUCGACCGCCUGGGGAGUACGGCCGCAAGGUUAAAACUCAAAGGAAUUGAC